UACGUAGGGUGCAAGCGUUAAUCGGAAUUACUGGGCGUAAAGCGUGCGCAGGCGGCUUUGCAAGACAGAUGUGAAAUCCCCGGGCUUAACCUGGGAACUGCAUUUGUGACUGCAUGGCUGGAGUGCGGCAGAGGGGGAUGGAAUUCCGCGUGUAGCAGUGAAAUGCGUAGAUAUGCGGAGGAACACCGAUGGCGAAGGCAAUCCCCUGGGCCUGCACUGACGCUCAUGCACGAAAGCGUGGGGAGCG
rnacentral:rRNA from 1 species